GGCUCGUUAGCAAAGCGGUUAUGCAGCGGAUUGCAAAUCCGUUUAGUCCGGUUCGACUCCGGAACGUGCCUCCA
rnacentral:tRNA from 1 species